CUCAUUUGUAAUUCCGAAAUUUCAUUUGUAAAAUCUCAUAUUUCUCCAAUCUCUAUCCUUCUACAUCCAACAAAUGGUAUCAGAGCUAGGUUAAAAUUCAUAAACCCAUUCUUACCAAAUUCCUACCAAAAAAUUGAGAUAAAACCUGCCUAAAAAAAACCAUAAAACCAACAGAUUUUUUAACAGAAAUAGGGUAGUUAUGGCAACAAAUUCGACGGCCUCCUUGUUCACUUAUUCACCAAGUCAAGUGCCAAUCUUUGAAGGUGAGCACUAUGAAUAUUGGAGUAGUCAAAUGCAAACUUUCUUCACCUCUUUAGAUUUAUGGGAAGUCAUUGAUGAUGAUGAGGUGGUAGAAGAUUCGACCGAGGGAGAUGAAGAAGAUCCAAAGUUAAGGAAUACAUAAAGAAAGAUGCAACGGCGUUGCGAUAUAUUCAACAAGGAGUUGGAAAAUCAAUUUUUCCUCGUAUAUUUGGUGUUAAAAAAGCCAAAGAUGCAUGGAAAAUUUUAAAUCAAGAAUUUCAAGGUUCGGAGAAAACUAUCGCCUUGAAACUUCAAUCUUUAUGGAAAGAUUUUGACAAUCUCAAAAUGGAAGAACGAGAGUCGGUUCGUGAUUUCUCUUCAUGAGUUUCGGAGAUUGUAAAUCAAAUCAAAAGUUGUGGAGAUACAAUUAAAGACAAAAGAGUUGUUGAAAAAGUGCUUCGAUGUCCCUUCAAAAUUCGAUCAUGUAGCUGCCGCAAUUGAAGAAUCAAAGGAUUUGUCUAAAAUGACUACGUAUGAGUUGACCGGAUUGCUUCUUGCACAUGAGCAAAGAAUCAAUCGUUCGGCUAGUCAAUCAACCGAACAAGCCUUCCAAUCAAAGCAAGCAUUAAAAAUAACUUCAGGCAAUCAUGAAGUUCAAACAAUAAAAAGGAAAGUUUAGCAAGUGGAGUCAAAAUGAAAAGCAAAGCAAUUGGAAAGCCAAGGCACCACAACAAUCUGGUAAGGCUCAAUCUUGCAUUAUUUGUAAAAAGAACAAUCAUGAAUCAAAAGAUUGCUAUUUUAAAUGCAAAAGAUGCAAGGUACCUAAUUAUUCUCAAAAGGAUUGUUGGCUUCAAAAUAAGGAGAAAAAUGAAGAUGCGGCAAAUUUUUUGAAAGAAAGUGAAGAUGAAAUUCUAUUUUAUUCUCAUCAAAAUGGUGACUUUGAAUCCAAGAAUAAAUGGUAUUUGAAUAGCGGUG
rnacentral:lncRNA from 1 species